rnacentral:rRNA from 1 species
UACGAAGGGUCCAAGCGUUAUUCGGAAUCACUGGGCUUAAAGCGCGUGUAGGCGGAUGGGAACGUCGGCUUCUGAAAGCCCCCGGCUCAACCGGGGAAGUGGGGCCGAAACGACCCGUCUCGAGGGACGUAGGGGGAUCUGGAACUUCCGGUGGAGCGGUGAAAUGCGUUGAGAUCGGAAGGAACGCCCGUGGCGAAAGCGAGAUCCUGGACGUUUUCUGACGCUGAGACGCGAAAGCUAGGGGAGCAAACGGG